rnacentral:tRNA from 1 species
GCUUCCGUAGUAUAGUGGUUAUUAUAUUCGGCUGUUAGCCCUUCUGAUUACAGAGGACCUUAAUACCGAAGGGUCGGUGGUUCGAACCCACCCGGGAGCG